CAAUAGCGUAUAUUAAAGUUGUUGCAGUUAAAAAGCUCGUAGUUGGAUUUCUGGUAGGAGCGACCGUGCCGAACUUGAUUGUUCGAGUAUUGUGUUGUCUUCAGCCAUCCUCGUGGAGAACUUUUCUAACAUUAACUUGUUGGAAUUGGGACCCGCGUCGUUUACUGUGAAAAAAUUAGAGUGUUUAAAGCAGGCAUUAGCUUGAAUACAUUAGCAUGGAAUAAUAAGAUAGGACUUUGGUACUAUUUUGUUGGUUUGCAUACCAAAUUAAUGAUCAACAGGAACAGUUUGAGGAUAUUCGUAUGAACAUGUCAGAGGUGAAAUUCUUGGAUUUUGAUCAGACGAACUACUGCGAAAGCAUUUAUCAAGGAUGUUUUCAUUAA
rnacentral:rRNA from 1 species